rnacentral:rRNA from 1 species
UACGUAGGGUGCGAGCGUUGUCCGGAAUUAUUGGGCGUAAAGAGCUCGUAGGCGGUUUGUCGCGUCUGCUGUGAAAACUCGGGGCUUAACCCUGGGCCUGCAGUGGGUACGGGCAGACUAGAGUGCGGUAGGGGAGACUGGAAUUCCUGGUGUAGCGGUGAAAUGCGCAGAUAUCAGGAGGAACACCGGUGGCGAAGGCGGGUCUCUGGGCCGUAACUGACGCUGAGAAGCGAAAGCGUGGGGAGCGAACAGG